UACGGGGGGGCAAGCGUUGUUCGGAAUUACUGGGCGUAAAGGGUUUGUAGGUGGCUUGUUAAGUCAGACGUGAAAUCCCUCGGCUUAACCGGGGAACUGCGUCCGAUACUGGAUGGCUUGAGUUCGGGAGAGGGAUGCGGAAUUCCAGGUGUAGCGGUGAAAUGCGUAGAUAUCUGGAGGAACACCGGUGGCGAAGGCGGCAUCCUGGACCGACACUGACGCUGAGGAGCGAAAGCCAGGGGAGCAAACGGG
rnacentral:rRNA from 1 species